UUCGGUACAUAAGUACCGAUUAAAUAUGCGGUGAGCCACUGCAACGGCAGCCGCAUAAAUCCUGUACGGGCCGAUCCACAGAAAACGGUAGGCGCCGACGAAUUACAAGGAG
rnacentral:ncRNA from 1 species